rnacentral:lncRNA from 1 species
AUUACGACGAUGUUGAGAAUAAAAAAUAUUCGGAGUAGACGAUAAUUCUAUGGAUUUGUUACAUUAAUGUACGUAUAAUAAAUUUAAUACAAUUCUAAUUAACAUUGUGCUAAUGGAUAUAAAUGAAAAACAAUCAUAACUUCACGAAUUUCAACGCAUCGGUUAAUUAAGAAUAAAAACAUCGGAACAUUUCUUUGCUAAUGUAAAUACAUGCAUGCAUAUGCACACACACAAAGUUGAAGAACGACCAGGCAUGACAGGUUAUGUUUAUUAUCUCAUUAGACUUCUCUUUACAAUUGCAUGCACUCGAUGUAAAUAGAUAUGAUGCAAUGCAUGAAGAACAUAGCCCUAAGAAAGACGUUUGCCAUCAUCCCAUUCUUUCCAUCGUUUUAGAAAAACGUUCACCAUUGAAAUCAUACUAAUUAAUGGUAGAAGAUACAGCUACAUACUUACAUUCAAGUAUUUCUUUCUUUCUUUUCUUUAAUUUUAGGAAUAUAUUAAUAUCUAAAUAGAUCUCCGACGCAGCAACCACCCCAUGGUGAAAUCUGGUAACCAAUAUUGCUUAUGGUGUCUAUAGAAUAUAUAUGGUACAACGUAAGCAUAUGAAUGAAAUGAUUGAUUGAAUGAAUUAUUUAAUUACACGUUACAAUUUUAGUUUAAAUUUUAUUAAUUUAAAUUCAUUUUAUUUCUUAUGGUAUAUUAAAUUAACAUAAAUAAUUCAAGACACGUUUAAUCGAUUUUAAUUAAUUGUUUAAAUGAUUAUUUAUAAAUAUUGUACCUUGUUUAGUUUUACA